UUUUGAGAUUUGAUCCUGGCUCAGGACGAACGCUGGCGGCGUGCUUAACACAUGCAAGUCGAGCGGUAAGGCCCUUCGGGGUACACGAGCGGCGAACGGGUGAGUAACACGUGGGUGAUCUGCCCUGCACUUCGGGAUAAGCCUGGGAAACUGGGUCUAAUACCGGAUAUGACCUUCGGCUGCAUGGCUGAGGGUGGAAAGGUUUACUGGUGCAGGAUGGGCCCGCGGCCUAUCAGCUUGUUGGUGGGGUAAUGGCCUACCAAGGCGACGACGGGUAGCCGACCUGAGAGGGUGACCGGCCACACUGGGACUGAGACACGGCCCAGACUCCUACGGGAGGCAGCAGUGGGGAAUAUUGCACAAUGGGCGAAAGCCUGAUGCAGCGACGCCGCGUGAGGGAUGACGGCCUUCGGGUUGUAAACCUCUUUCAGCAGGGACGAAGCGAAAGUGACGGUACCUGCAGA
rnacentral:rRNA from 1 species